rnacentral:tRNA from 4 species
GCCGGUGUAGCUCAAUUGGCAGAGCAGCUGAUUUGUAAUCAGCAGGUUGCGGGUUCAAGUCCCAUCGCCGGCUCCA